rnacentral:lncRNA from 1 species
AUGGGGAUACUAGGCUCUAAAGUCUGAUUCUAACUCCCAGGUAGCCUCUCUUGGCGAGUGAUUUUGCCACACUACCUUUACAAAUUAUAUUUUUCGGUUGUGGAGUAUUCUGCUCUUUCGGUCCGUGACACCGACUGGUACUUCCUCAUAAGAUAAGUCCUCUUUGAGUGGAAGCGGUUCAUGAGCCAAGACAUGAGAGGGGUCCGGGUUGUACUUACGUAGCAUGGAUACAUGGAACACAUUGUGGACCUUGGAGAGCUCUGGAGGCAGUGCUAGUUUGUAUGCGGCAGUACCAAUCCUGUCUAAGACUUCAUAUGG